rnacentral:snoRNA from 9 species
AAGCCUAUACUUCCGGGGAUCAUUUCUAUAGUUUGUGACCUAGAAUAAAGGUAGAAAACUGCCUGAUCCAAGGAAUAAAUACCUUCAUACCCAUUUCUUACUCAAGCUCUCCUGG